GACGAACCGUCCUAACGUUGUUCGGAAUCACUGGGCCUAAAGGGCGCGUAGGCGGACCAGCAAGUCCGGGGUGAAAUCUUUCGGCUUAACCGGAAAACAGCCUUGGAUACUGCUGGUCUCGAGGGAGGCAGGGGCCUGUGGAACUUCCGGUGGAGCGGUGAAAUGCGUUGAUAUCGGAAGGAACGCCGGUGGCGAAAGCGACGGGCUGGACCUCUUCUGACGCUGAGGCGCGAAAGCUAGGGGAGCAAACGGG
rnacentral:rRNA from 1 species